AGCGAACGCUGGCGGCAGGCCUAACACAUGCAAGUCGAACGAACUCUUCGGAGUUAGUGGCGGACGGGUGAGUAACACGUGGGAACGUGCCUUUUGGUUCGGAAUAACUCAGGGAAACUUGUGCUAAUACCGAAUGUGCCCUUCGGGGGAAAGAUUUAUCGCCAUUAGAGCGGCCCGCGUCUGAUUAGCUAGUUGGUGAGGUAACGGCUCACCAAGGCGACGAUCAGUAGCUGGUCUGAGAGGAUGACCAGCCACACUGGGACUGAGACACGGCCCAGACUCCUACGGGAGGCAGCAGUGGGGAAUCUUGCGCAAUGGGCGAAAGCCUGACGCAGCCAUGCCGCGUGAAUGAUGAAGGUCGUAGGAUUGUAAAAUUCUUUCACCGGGGACGAUAAUGACGGUACCCGGAGAAGAAGCCCCGGCUAACUUCGUG
rnacentral:rRNA from 1 species